GACGAACGCUGGCGGCGUGCUUAACACAUGCAAGUCGAACGAUGAAGAAGAGAAACGCGAACUUCGGUUCAAAUUUCACUUCGGAUUAGUGGCAGACGGGUGAGUAACGCGUGAGCAACCUUCCUCUUACAAAGGGAUAGCCUCGGGAAACCGUGAUUAAUACCAUAUGACACAUUCAUAAGGCAUCUUAAGAAUGUUAAAGCUACGGCGGUAAGAGAUGGGCUCGCGUCCCAUUAGCUAGUUGGUGAGGUAACGGCCCACCAAGGCGACGAUGGGUAACCGGCCUGAGAGGGUGAACGGUCACAUUGGAACUGAGACACGGUCCAAACUCCUACGGGAGGCAGCAGUGGGGAAUAUUGCACAAUGGAGGGAACUCUGAUGCAGCGACGCCGCGUGAGCGAUGAAGGAAUUCGUUUCGUAAAGCUCUGUUCUAUGGGAAGAAAAGGACUGUACCAUAGGAGAAAGCCCCGGCUAAAUACGUG
rnacentral:rRNA from 1 species